rnacentral:siRNA from 1 species
AAGGGUAUUGUUACAAAAGGAUA